rnacentral:lncRNA from 1 species
UCCUUCCCCAACCACUGGGCAGGCGUGCUCCACUCAGCUUGGAGAUGAUCGGCUUUCCAUAUGCGCGGAACCACCGCAGCUUGCCUUCCCAUCUUUCAUCACCUAAAUGAGGGCAGUUAUUGUUUAAGAGUAGAAAACAGGGAACAUAAUGAUGAAUAAAUUAUAAGUUUAGGGAUCUGAAAAGUCAGACUGUGUAAAUAUGUAUUUUAAACCACAAACAGAAUACUAAUGCGUCUUUCCCAUUAACUCACUAACUGAAAUUACAGAGUGUAAUGUGAGCCAACGCCCACGGGUUGGUUAUGAUGUUUUCAGAUUUAGAACAGCAAAUGAUAAAUGUCCUUCCCUCAGACAAAGAAGCGAUUGACACAGCUUUUCCGUGUAGUCACUGACAGCGCAGGCAAUGAGAAAUACACUGAAUUCUGGGGGAAGAGGGAGGUCAUGAAAGACCCAGGGAGGAAUAGCCUGGGCUCCGGCUUCGUGUUUCCUGGAUACCCAGGAAACGUCUCAGAGCUCAUGGAAGACCCUGCAAGUGGUGAGGACCCAGGCAGUGUUACCUGGCAUGUCUUCCUGCAUUAGAGGAUGGGCUUAUUUUCUUAAGCGGUAGCUCUAUCCUGCUGUGGGUUGGUGGCUGGCAGCUGACUGAAGCCAGUCUUGCUUGGGCUAGGUUUGGUUUGCGGGUGUGGUUAACUGAGCAGUCAUUUUAUUAUAAGGCUGCUUACGGGCAGCAGUAUUUGAACACCCAUGUUCAUAGCAGCAUCAUUCACAGUAGUCAAAAGGUAGAAGCAAUUGAGCUAUCCUUUGGUGGAUGAAUGGAAAAAUCAAAUGUGGCAUUUGCAUGCCAUGGAAUAUUACUCAGCCUUAAAAAGGCAGGAAAUUCCAACCCAUGCUAUAACUUGGAUGAUCCUUAAAGUCAUGAUGUGUAAUGAAAUAAGCCAAUCACAAAAUGACAAAUACUGUGUGGUCCCACUUAUACGAGGUUGGAAUUUAUAGGGAUAGAAUAUAGAUUGGUGGUUACUAGUGGCUUGGGGAAGGAGGGGAUGACUGGUUGUACAACAGUGUAAAUGUACUUAACACAACAGAACUGUUUACUUAAAGUGGCUAAAAUGAUAACCUAUGUGCAUUUUACCACAAUUAAAAAAUUUAAGAGAGGUGGUCGAACAUGGUCCUCAGAGAGAGAGAUCUGUACUUGAUUCCUGGUGCUGCCACUUACAAGCUGGGGACCCUUGGGCAAUUCACUUAAAAUACUCUUUGACCUCCAUGUAGUGGUGAUAAUAAUAGUGCCUCCUCCUUAGGACUGUUGUGAGGAUUAAAUGAAAUGUUUGGUAUGCAUUCAUUACAUACCUGGUAUGCAGCAAACACCUAGAAGAAGUAUUAGCUGUUGUUACUGCUGCUUCUACUCCAUGCCUAGGAGAGGGGCUUGGUUGGUGUACAUCCAGGUGGCGGUGUUCCAUCUCAGAGAUGUUCUGAAGCCCUGCUCCCCUCACUCCAAUCCCCCUGAUUCUCUACCUGCUCAUUCAUCAGUGCCCAGCCCCAUACCCUAUCUCCAUGAAAUGUGUUGUCAUUGCCCCAAGCCAUGUUUAUUUAAUGACUCCACUGUACAGCUCUUCACAUGUCCACUUAACAAGUCUUUCCUGAGGGCCUACUGUGAGCCAAAAUGUUUGGAACACAGUGGGAACAGGACCCAGUUCUUAACCCUCAAGCAGACUAUAGACUAUUUUUUUUUCCUGCAUGGUUUCUUUGACAUCUAUCCUCAUAGAUGUACAUGAAGGUCCCUUUUUUUCCACCACAGUAUCGUAAGUUCUUCAAUGGUAAGAAUCUUGUCUUACUCUUUUUGUCUCCACUGAAGUGCUUUGCCUGACCUUAGAUAUAAAGAAAAACAGUCAGUCUGAGUUAUUUGAGUCAGGUCGUCCAAGAGAGGAAACCUGGUCAUACAGUGGCUUGGAAUCCUAGUACCAGGAAGAAUCUGGGUAGAAAACCUUACCCAUUACCCUGCACAACCACUUGUCAACAUCAUCAAGUGGAGGUUGUGUAUUUUCCCCCUGAAGAAAUACAGAUUCAAGAGGAAAGACAAAAUAACACAGUAAUGAAAUGCUACUUCAUACCCAUCAAUCUGGAAAAAAAAUAAUACCACUGUCAGGUUUGGGCAAGGAGGUGCAGAGAGGGGAACACAUCUAUUACUGAUGGGAUUGUAACGUGGUACCUGGUUUUUCCAUUUGGUGUUACAUAAUGAAAAUAAAUCUUGUUCUCCAGCAAUUUUACUUCUGGGUGGCAGCCCUAGAAAAACCCUCAUUCCGUGCCUGUGGAGAGGUGAGAUAUGUCUAACGCUGUUCCCUGCAGCAUAGGGAUAAUAGCAACAAAAUAGAACAGGUGAUAGUGGGUUAAAAGACAUCUGCCCAAAUAUCCAUGUCCCCUUGGAACCUCAGAAUAUGACUUGAUUUGCAAUGGAAGUCUCUGUGAUUGUAAUCGAGGUAAGAAUGGAGAUGAGAUCAUCCUGGACUAGGGUGAAUCCUAAAUUCAAUUACUGUGUCUUUACGAGAGAAAAGAGGAGAGGGAGAUUUGGGUGCAGAGAUAUAUAGAAAAGAAGACCAUGUGAAUGAUGGAGGCAAGGAUGGGAGUGAUGCAGCCACAAGCCAAGAAUGCCUGGGGCCACAAGGAGCUAGAAGCGUCAAAGGAAGUUCUCCCCUUUAGAGCCUUUGUAAGGAGCAUGGCCCUGCCAGCACCUUGACUUCAGAAAUCCAGCCUCUAGAACCAGGAGAAAAUAAGGCUCUGUUGUUUAAGCCAUCACGUUUGUGAUACUUUGUUAUGAAAGCCCCAGAUUACUAAUACACAGGUCAGCUGCCCCUCUGUAGGGGAAUUGGAAAAAUAUGUAAUUUAUUGAUAUCAUGGCAUGCUGUGUAGCAGUUAAACGAACAAGCUCUCAAUCUUAAAACAUGAUGUUAAGUUAAACAAGUUGCAGAAAUAUACUUCUCAUAUGACACCAUGUGUGUAAAUAUGUUCAAAAGUAUAUAUUGUUUAUGGAUACAUACUAACAAAAUAAAGUGACUCAAACAACUAUGGGAUGUUAUAUACUAAUCCCAGGACACUGGCUAAAUCUGUGAAUGGAGAGAGAAUAGAUGUGUUUUAUAGAGAAAGGAAAUAUUUGAAGUCAGUCAAGUCUAAUCAAGUAAAACAUUAACCUGGGUUUAGUAGCAAAGGGAGUCAAAGCAUCUGCUGUGUUCUUUUUUUUUUUUUUUGUAUUUUCAAAUUGUUUCAUAUUGUAAAUUUUUGAAAGAAUUCCAAAGUUAGGAAAUACAUGACAGAUAUAAUAUUGAAUAUAUGCAGGAUGGCAGGAAAUAUUUGCUCUCUUACCAUUUGAGAACACCACAUUUUGAGACCUCAGAGGUCUCCUCUGAAUUUUAAUCUGGUGAUGGGAAGUUAGGUGGGUGGUGCAAAUGAGUUAGGAAGGGACUAGGGCUUUGGAUUCACAGCCACCGUUUACUUCCUCUGUGACUUUGAACAAGUUAGUAAACUCUACGAACUCACUUUCCCCAACUGUGAAGUAAUAUCUACUCUCAGGUUGUAAAAGUGUGAGUACCCAGUAAAUGUGAGUGUCCUUCACUUUGGUGUCCUGUUCACCCCACAUGUUCUUGCUUUAGAGUAUGGUGUGUCCCCUGAAGGAAAUGUGCAUGUGUGUGUGUGUGUGUGUGUAUGUGUGUGUGUGUAAGACAAAUCCUUGUAUAUAGGGUCAAUUGCCCAUGGCUACCUUUCUGGAGAAAAUUCAGACUCUAUUACACUUUCUUCAGAAAGACUCCUUCACUGCUUUUUGACCUGUUCCCUGUCCUUUUUCUGCUUCUCCUUCAUGUCUUUAAUUGAAGAUGUGGAAAGUGGAUGGGGUGUCCUGGGGAGACUGAGGCCUGAGUCAAAGUGGGAGGUUGAUAUCUUGGCGUUUGUGUCCCUCACUCCUUGUUAGCCUAGUAGCCUUGGGCAGCUGACUCACGGGCACCAAGGGGAACCUACCCUGACCAUCCCACCCAGGGAGGGGGCUGACUUCUGGGUGCUCCCUCCUUGCCACAUCCCUCCCCGACAACUCCUUCCAUCCUGCCACCUCCCCCCCCACACACCCUUUCACUGGCUUGUGACACUCCCUUGGCCUCUCUAGGCCCAGGGCCAAGCAAGCCUUGAACAUAUUUCAGGAGUAGGGUGUUGGCAUUUCCAGGACCUGUGGCACAAGUUGGCUGUAUGCAGGUGGUCAAGUGUCAUUUUCCCCUGAAGGUUAAGUGGUGACCUUGGUCAAUGUUUUGCCAGUGUUCACUUAAAUGAUUUCCCCUGGUUAAUGAGUCAUGUGGCAAAUUAGCUGAGGACUUUCACACCCUGCAGGUAAGCCAGGGUGGUAAGAACUGGUAAUCCUGAAAUUGUAUUAAGUUAUAUUGGCCAUACAAUAAGGGACCUGCUUAGCACACCUUUCUCGUUUUUAGAACCUCAUUUCAAAUGUAAGUUAAUGGGAUAAAGCCUGCUACCCUGCAGAACCACUGGGUGAUGGCCUGGAUGCCUGCUUUCUUGAGUCUCUUCGGUAUCCCUGCUCUCUACCUUAGGAAGCUCUGUAUCCAUCCUCCAUUUGUUCAUUCAUUCAUUCUCUCCCUCUCUCCCUUUCACUCUCUUCCUAACACCCCCUGUCAUGCCCAGACUAUGUGCUGAGGCCUUCCAGAGUGCCACAGUAUAGUCACAGGGAUGCUAGAGGAUAUUUUAAAUGCCUGAAGGCAAUGCAACAAAUAAGCAUCAUCAGUCAGGCACUGUGUGAACUGCCUUUUGAAGUAACACAUACUUUCAGCAUUAGAUCAUGCUAUCUUUCUUUCCAUGACAUCAUACCUUUGCAAAGGUGCAUUCUGGUGGCUGUUGCUGUGAUAAAAAGUGAGUACAGCAUGAAAUCAAUAUGGAACAGGAAAUGCAGUUACCAGUGCCCAUCACAAAUGAUUCCAAGGCUUGGGAAGUUGUGCAGGGCCCAACGGGCACACACAUCCCCUUAGUCAAUAAGUGUGAGCCUUGAAGAGUGGAAUAAAAAUGUUUUCUUUCACUUUGUGUGUAUUAUCAUUGUCAAAUGACUAUUAAGUCGUUAGGACGUAAGUACUUAUUAAGUUGCUUCAUAAAAUGGAACUAUUAGAUAUUUCUUUUGGUCUGUGAGUGCU